GGACAGUGAUGACUCUGACCUCGAGAUUGACGACGUGAAGGGUCUAGGUGGCAACAUCACUGCACAGAUGAAUUCAAGAUUGGGAAGAGGAGCUGAAGGGUGAGAGUCCAAUGCCAGCUUUUUUGAAGUGCAGCAAGCAUUCUUGGCAGCAAUUGAGAGUUUGUCUGGCGGAAAGAAAGGUUAUGUAGAGAAAACAAGCAAAUACGUGGUGAAAGGAUCUCAGAAUUUCAAUGCUGUUGUGAGACUGUGUUUGAAAAAUAUGGCCUUUGCAUUGAGAACCGUCUUCAAGCUUAAGGAUAAAAGUCAGUUGCCCACAGCAUCUAAACGAUGGAGUAAAUAUAAGAAUAGUAUCAAGCCGUAUCUU